rnacentral:rRNA from 1 species
AUUGAACGCUGGCGGCAUGCCUUACACAUGCAAGUCGAACGGUAACAGGUCUUCGGAUGCUGACGAGUGGCGAACGGGUGAGUAAUGCAUCGGAACGUGCCCAGUCGUGGGGGAUAACUGCUCGAAAGAGCAGCUAAUACCGCAUACGACCUGAGGGUGAAAGCGGGGGACCGCAAGGCCUCGCGCGAUGGGAGCGGCCGAUGUCAGAUUAGCUAGGUGGUGGGGUAAAGGCCUACCACGGCAACGAACUGUAGUUGGUCUGAGAGGACGACCAGGCAGACUGAGACAGAGAGACUGCACAGACUCCUACGGGAGGCAGCAGGGGGGAAUUUUGGACAAUGGGCGCAAGCCUGCUCCAGGAAUGCCGCGUGGAGAAAGAAGACCUUCGGGUUGUAAACUGCUUUUGUCAGGGAAGAAAUCCUCUGGGUUAAUACCUCGGGGAAACGACGGUACCUGAAGCAUAAGCACCGGCUAACUACGUGCCAGCAGCCGCAGUAAGAC